UACGGGGGGGGCAAGCGUUGCUCGGAAUUACUGGGCGUAAAGGGCUCGUAGGUGGCCAACUAAGUCAUACGUGAAAUCCCUCGGCUUAACCGGGGAACUGCGUCUGAUACUGGAUGGCUUGAGGUUGGGAGAGGGAUGCGGAAUUCCAGGUGUAGCGGUGAAAUGCGUAGAUAUCUGGAGGAACACCGGUGGCGAAGGCGGCAUCCUGGACCGACACUGACGCUGAGGAGCGAAAGCCAGGGGAGCAAACGGG
rnacentral:rRNA from 1 species